CACAAGAUGCUCGGCCUGAGAUAGAAAACCCUUUCAUCAAAUGCACUUAGAGCUUAUCUAGAGAAAGCAUAAUGACUUGAGAAGCUGCUCGGCUCAGCUCUGACUGCAGCCUGAGGACCAACAGAGCACCUUCUGCCACCUUCCAGAAUGUGGAAGAGUACCUGGAUCAGAAGAGCAAGUGCCUCUACUGAUUUCCACAGCACUUUUCCUCUUGGCUGCUGCCUUGAGGAACCAUGCAAAGCAACAGACAAACAAUGAUUUCACUCUUCUGACUGUGCAUUUGAUGCAAAAAAUCCUCUUGCUGUUUUAAAAAGGCUGAAUCUGCUUCAGUUGGGAAGCAGACUAUUCUGGUAUCAAUCCAAGACCUUUUAAAGCCAGAAGAAUAUAUUUUAAAAACUGCUCUUCAAAGGGGUUAAUAAGUCAACAGUGGAUAUUUUCAUGUGGAAUUAUUCAAUUUUAGAUAAUUAUCAUAGUCAUAAAAGUCAACAGCCUCUCUCUUAGCUACCUAAAAUAAUCAAGAACAUGUUUACUCAGAGUUCAUUUUUUAAAAAAAUAACAUCCAUUUGAAGAAAAUAGCAGAUUUUAGGUGAAAUAAUAAAGAACAAAAUACUUCCAUGCUGAAAUACCUGCAUGCCUCACAUGGAUCCCCUUGCUGAGAGUCAAAGUCUCCAAAUGAAACUCAUUUAAGAGAACUGUAGAAAACUUGGGAACCAAAAUUAUAACAGAGAGGAAGGGUGGUUUGGGAACAUGACAGCAGGCAAGACAUUUGUGGAAUCUAGGUGAAUUCCCUAAUAUUGUUGCAGAAUUCCUGCUUGAGCUUGGGUGAGCUGCUCACCCUGUGCAGUUCCCACCUGGAACACCAACCUACCUUCACCUCUGCCCACCCCAGCCCUCUUCUUUGCAGUGAAGAAAGACUCCCUCAAAACACAUUAGCACAGUGCUUCUUAGCAAAAACAGUUCAUUUUAGAGGGGGAAGCUGGCCACCAACAUAAUUCAAGCAGCUGCUGAGCACAGUGCAAGUGCUGCAUCAGUGGGUGUGACACUGAACAUCAAAAUCACCCACAUGGGACUCAGGUCAGCACUGAAUGAGAAAAUCCAAUGGGAGUAAGUGUAAUUCCCAUCAAUUUGUAGCAAAUGAGUGAAAUACAGACAUUAAAUUGAGUUUCUGCUCCUUCCCUCUUAAACACACUUAAAAAAUAGAUCUUUGAAUCAUCUCAUGAUUCACCACAGCAUAACACAAAGUACUGAGUGACCUAUCUG
rnacentral:lncRNA from 1 species